rfam:Triticum aestivum genome assembly, contig: Triticum_aestivum_CS42_TGACv1_scaffold_288344_4AL
CUAGUACUCCCUCCGUCCGGAAAUACUUGUCCUAAAAAUAGUUGUAUCUAGACUUAUUUUAGUUAUAGAUACAUCCAUUUUAUCCAUUUUUAGGACAAGUAUUUCCAGACGGAGGGAGUAAGAG